CUGGUGGUUCUUAUAUGCCUUCUGGCCCACCUAGUGGUUCGAGAUUACACCCAGCUGGCUACCCAAUACCCAGGGUGCCAUUUUCACCGUUUCCUGGUGGUCCUCCUUCUCAGCCAUAUGCUAUUCCAACUCGUGGACCUGUUGGUACUGGUCGUGGAAGUUCAGUUGGGGGCCACCUUCCCCACCAACAAGCCACCCAGCAUAAUGUUGGAACUAUUGGCCCUAAUGUGAACUUCCCCCUUGAUAGUCCAAAUAGCCAGCCUUCACCUGGUGGUCCGCUAUCCCAACCUGGAUAUGUAAGUAUCGCCCUCAUCUCUUUUAAUUUUUUUCUUUCAUCUAGUAGUUUCUGAAGCAUUAGAGCUCGAUUGUUUUUGGUUGACUUUAAAUCAUCAUACGAUGUUGCCUUUUCAGGGAAGCCAAGCAUUCAGGGAUGGUUUUAUGGGCGGCAUUUCUCAGGUUGUCUUCUCGUUUUAUGUUACUUAGUGAUCAGUGGCAGUGUUUUCUACUUUUUGUCUGUUAUUUAAUAUCUUCUAUGUCAAUACCACCAGGAUUUCUUAGGUGAUGAUUUCAAGAGCCAGGGAUCUCAUGUUCCUUACAACAUGGGCGACUAUUCUACACAGGUAGUUUCUCUUCUGCCUGCUUUAGUUAUUAGACAUGUAAAUACUUUGGAUAUAUGAUAGUAGGACUACGAUAAGAUGUCUUUGGAAAUGUAAAACCAAAAUUCCGAGGUUGGGCCAGAUAUAUAUAACCAUGUGUUGCAAAGUUGAUAGUUCUUGAAUUUCACAUAGGAAUUACUGACUGUUCAUGUUUUUUGUAUAUGUUCUUCGUUUCUGAGCCAUAUUUGUAUAUAAUUUCUUUGUGGCAGUGUUUUCUACUUUUUGUCUGUUAUUUAAUAUCUUCUAUGUCAAUACCACCAGGAUUUCUUAGGUGAUGAUUUCAAGAGCCAGGGAUCUCAUGUUCCUUACAACAUGGGCGACUAUUCUACACAGGUAGUUUCUCUUCUGCCUGCUUUAGUUAUUAGACAUGUAAAUACUUUGGAUAUAUGAUAGUAGGACUACGAUAAGAUGUCUUUGGAAAUGUAAAACCAAAAUUCCGAGGUUGGGCCAGAUAUAUAUAACCAUGUGUUGCAAAGUUGAUAGUUCUUGAAUUUCACAUAGGAAUUACUGACUGUUCAUGUUUUUUGUAUAUGUUCUUCGUUUCUGAGCCAUAUUUGUAUAUAAUUUCUUUGUAUGCCUCACAGGGAGGAUAUGCGGUUGAUUAUGCCACACAAGGAGCCCAUGGAGCUUUUCCUGGAAACUUUAUGAACCAGAAUUCUCAAGGGGGUUAUUCUCGUUUCAGUGGGAGUAAUGAUUUCAUGUCCCAGGUGUGUUUCACCUAGCCUUUCCUUUUAACACUUUUUUUUUCUUAAUUCUUAGACCUUCGUCUGAGUCCUCUAUUACCGACACAGGAGUAUAUGCCGCAUGGAGCACAAGGUCUUUUCACCCAAGCUGGCUUUAUCGACUACAAACCGUGCGUUUUCAACGGAAGUCCCGUCGACGAUCGAUUCGAGUUUCGUGGAGGCAUGGAAGAAAGUCGCACCGAACAUGGACCCGCCGCAGACUCCUUCUUCCUUCAUGAAGCCUCGUCCAUCGACUGCUUCCUCGAUUCCGACGAUAGUUCGUUUGCAUUAACGUUUACAAUUAACAAAAAAGGAGGAUUCUUAAGAUAGCGAAGGUUGUGUGUUUAUAUAGAGAGAAUUACACACUAAACAUUAACCCAAACUCAUACAAACAAUUGAGGCCUUUCGAGUUUGUGUUCACCAUAUUAAUCUUUGGUACUCAUGUUUCUUUUCAAAAGAUGCUAACGACUCUUCGUCUCACAGGGUCUCCCGAAUUCACUCUACUCGCAGCCUUUCUCACACUACACCCAGCCACUAAACCUUUCAGGCCCACAGCAAUCUCAACCUCCUAACCAAGGCUCACAAAACCCAAAACCUCCUCACAACGGCUAAAGAUGACACAUGCAGAAGCUGAAUGCAAACGGGUUUGUAAACCUUUUUUUUUGCAAAUUCAGCAGUUUGGUAUCAUGCUAUCACGGCUCCAAACAAACAUCUGGUGGCUUCUCGGGGUGCUUGCAAGUUACGUGCCUUUCUGGCUCGCUUAGCAACAGGUAAUGAUGAUGCAGAGAGACAUGUACCUAAGUAACCCGAGGAGAUUCUUGGUCCAUACAUCCUCUGGGCUUAUAUAAAUGUUUGGUUUUGCCGUGUAAUAUUAUAAUAUCAUCCUCUUAUUGUAGUCUAUAUCUGAAGCUACCCUUAGUUAAAAAUCGGUGUUGGUGUCUGGUGAUAUUGAUAUGAGUACUGCAAACUCUCUUGCCUUUAUUUAUUUUUUUCUGGAUAUUUCGCUUAAUGCGUGUCUGAAUUAUUGUUUCUGCUUCCGUGGUAUUUAUUAUAUGAUCAUCUAUGAGAUAUGUGCAAGUUUUGGUUCCAGAUAGUGUCCUAUGGGGAUUGUCCAAUCGGUUUUGGGUAUCGGACAUAUUAACACCGACUUUCUUAGGUUUGUUACGGUUUCAGGAAGUACCGCUCGUGGAACCAUCCAUACAAGCAUCGGAUUCUACCCCGGGUGUGAUCCCACAAAGUUUGGUGUUACAUUUUUUUUUUCUCUGUGUCUCGGAAGGAAUAUAUCAAAAUAAAAUGUAAGUUUUCACAGAAAAAACGGUAUAUUAUUUUCAUCAUAUUGUGCGUAUUUUUGGCUUUGGUGAAGGUUAUUAGUCCAGAAAGGACAAAGCCCAUUUGGGUUGGUUUUGGACACGAAAGGGAUUGUGCAGCAUUGGCAAAUAGUGGUUAACGUUCGUCUAUCUGGUCUGGUGUUCCUUGUGAGGACCGUAGUUGGGCCCAAAUAUCAUAAAGAAACACACGAAACACUCUCCGUUUUUGGUUUUGAUCCCAGACAGACAAGAACACUCUCUCAUGUAUGGCAAAUGCCCUCCCUCUUUAAAUCAAAUAACGGACAGGAAGCAGUUGCGGCCCUGGGUAUAAGCAUUAGAAACAUCUGAUUCCGGCCGUUGAUAAUUAACAAAAUUUUCAGCCUAUUUAUAAAAUAUGCCAGUAGGUUAGAUGAUCAAACUAGCUAACAAAUCCCUCCAUAAUAAAAUUUUGGGUUUCUAGUCUUUGUUUUUGUAGAGCUUUUUACUGCUGGGCCUGAGUAGAAAUCAAGAAACAUAAAUAGAUAGAAAUGUGAGAUGUCCAGGACUUUAUGCCUGCUCUCUCUCUCUCUCUUUCUCGAGUCACUCUCAAAAUCUGGUUCGGGUUAGGUUAUAGACAUUUUAUGUGGAACUCAAAAACUGAGAUAGGAUCAAUACUUUUAAAAAUCUAUGCAUUUCUUAUUUUCCAAAACCCAAACAAACAAACCAAACGAAUAUUUUAAUUUUACUGAAAGUAUUAUUUGUAUUUAAUUUUAAAAUAAUUAUAUAUAAAUAUAGUUUAUAAUUAAAACAAGUACAUUUAUAUAUUUUUUUCAGCUACUAGCCAAUUCUCGAUAUUUUUAGCAAAAUCGAACUGAAUUCUGUAGAAACCCUGUCUAAACCUGAAAGCACCGACAGUGCCGGCUCAAUAGGGAGUGCGGCCGGUGCGACCGCCCCGGGUCCGGUUCAAAUCUUACAAUAUUAGGGGCCCUAAUUAUUUAAUUAGCAUAUCUGAUUUAGAUUUAAACAGUAUUAAAACGAUGUAUCAUAAUUUUUUCUAGUUAAAUUAUCAAAGAGAAUAUACAUGUUUGAUGCUCGAGUCGAAAUUUCAGGAAAUUUUUUUACCAACGUUAAAAAAUUAACUUACUAUAGGGGCUUUAAAAUUCUUUUUGCCCAAGGGCCCUUCUAUAUAUUAAGCCGGCCCUGAGCACCGAAAACCAUAAACUCGAACUGGAACCAAACUAUAAUGCCCUCUGCCUAAAUCAAACACUGAAAAUCUGAAACUUUGUAACCCAUUUGCUACUUGUGUUACAGGCUUCACGGUACACAGAUAUAUCCUAUUGAUUAAAUAGUGGGCUUUAAGACAAGGCCUUUCCAGUUUUUGUGGGCCGAAACUGAAAAUAAAAUGCUACACUUGCCCACCAGCGAACGUGAACAUCAGAGUCACAGAUAACAACACUUGAGAGAGUUAUCAGAAAGAGUUCCCUAUCGACACUCUCUCUCUCUCUCUCUUCCUCUCAGCAUCAUCAUCACCACCAAAUCGCCGCCAUGUUCAGACAAGCUUCUCGCCUCGUCUCCCGAUCUAUCACCGCCAAAUCGGCGACAAACCGUGCGUUUUCAACGGAAGUCCCGUCGACGAUCGAUUCGAGUUUCGUGGAGGCAUGGAAGAAAGUCGCACCGAACAUGGACCCGCCGCAGACUCCUUCUUCCUUCAUGAAGCCUCGUCCAUCGACUGCUUCCUCGAUUCCGACGAAGCUCACCGUCAAUUUCGUCCUCCCUUACGCAUCUGAGCUUUCCGGGAAAGAGGUCGGCUUUCAUUUUUCCUCGUUCGAUGUUCGCAUUUAGGUUUCUAGGGUUUGAUCUAUGACUCUGUGUGUUAUGGUUACAUAUUUGAUUGUUGUUUGAUUUCAUGAUAAGGUGGUUAAUUAGGUCUGAAGACUUUUGAUUUUUGGUUAGAUCUAACGGCGCUAAAGUUUAGGGUUUUGAUAGGCCAAAGCUGAAACUGGCGCAGUUGAUGUUUCGUUUAGUUUCUACAUAAUUGUUAAUAACAAGAUCAAGAACAAAAAAAAAAGCCUCACUUUUUAGUGAUUAAGAAUAACCUAAAUCUCCCUAAUUUCUCAGGUUUACCAUUUGUUGUCUCUGCAAAAUGUUGCUUGCUAUAAAUCCAUUAAAAUUUUAUUAAGAGUUUUGUUAUCUCUGCUCUGUUCAUAACCAAAUGAUCCUGGUGUGUUUUUUACGGUUUCUAAUACAAUGUGAUUGGCAAAUAAUGUUUGUUUCAUAUAUCUUGAAACUUUGAUGUUGACAAAUUAUAACUGCUGAUUUCUAAUGUGUUAAUUGGUUUUGUGAAGGUUAAUCUUUUCUCUUCUAUUGAUAUAUGAUGUGGUAUACAUAUAGACUGAAUCUCCAUGGCAAGUAGUAAUUUCUCAUUGGCUUAUUCUCAUAUGUUGGUGGUGCAUUCACUGUGAUAUCUCUUCUGUAGAAUAUACAUUCAGUACUGAAAGUUCUUAUCGUCCCUGACUUGCUUUCUGAUGCAUCCAUUGCUUAUAUCCGAGAACGUAAACCUAUUUCUUGAUUGGUUUGUUUUCUUGUAUAUAUUUAAUUAUAACUCAAAGCUUAUUGGCUUUUUCUCUUUUGUCUACUUCAAGGUCGACAUGGUCAUCAUUCCCGCGACAACAGGACAAAUGGGUGUUUUGCCUGGACACGUUCCAACAAUCGCUGAGCUCAAACCCGGUAUCAUGUCCGUCCACGAAGGUACUGACAUCAAGAAAUACUUUGUGAGCAGUGGAUUUGCAUUUCUCCACGCAAAUUCCGUUGCUGACAUUAUCGCGGUUGAGGCCGUGCCGCUUGAGAACAUCGACGCAAGCCAAGUCCAAAAGGGUUUAGCUGAGUUUACACAGAAACUUGCUUCUGCCACAACAGAUCUUGAGAAAGCAGAAGCACAGAUUGGUGUCGAAGUUCACAGUGCUAUGAACGCAGCUCUCUCGGGCUGAUGAUGAGUGAAAGUCUCUUUUUUACUACUACAAAUGAUGGAAUAAAUUAGAAAAUGAUUUUAUUUUUCCUUUUCGUAAUUGUGUUGGACUUUUUGGAAUAAAUGAUUUUGUUGAAGGCACAAACCAACAGAAAGUUAUUAUUCUUCUCGACUUAUGUUUGUUUUGAGAUUGAGAAACUAAGUUCCCGAAUUGAUUUAUGGUUUUCAUUUCCUAAAAUUCUUUUUUUCUCACUUUGGGCCAUUUUUGCAAUGUCACUUCAGAACGAUUAAAAAUUGUUGGUUUUUCUUGUUGAUUUUGAAACUCUCUCGAAGUGACAAUAUUAGUGUUUUACAGUGACCUAGAAAUAAUAUGAUUUUUAAAAUAUCGAACAACUCAUAUCAUGAUUAACAUAUCAUACUGUACGUAGGCUGGGACGGAUCCAGAUAUUCGGAAAAUUUAAUAUCCGGAUUUCGGAUAUCCGUCUCGAUAUUUUAUUACCCGCGGAUAUCCGGAUCCGUAAAAAUAAUUAAAAAUAAUAUUUUUUUUUAAAACUAAAAUUUUAAUAUAAUAUAUAAACCUGUUGGUACUGGUCGUGGAAGUUCAGUUGGGGGCCACCUUCCCCACCAACAAGCCACCCAGCAUAAUGUUGGAACUAUUGGCCCUAAUGUGAACUUCCCCCUUGAUAGUCCAAAUAGCCAGCCUUCACCUGGUGGUCCGCUAUCCCAACCUGGAUAUGUAAGUAUCGCC
rnacentral:lncRNA from 1 species